rnacentral:rRNA from 1 species
UACGGAGGAUGCAAGCGUUAUCCGGAUUUAUUGGGUUUAAAGGGUCCGUAGGCGGGCUAAUAAGUCAGUGGUGAAAUCGAGCAGCUUAACUGUUCAACUGCCAUUGAAACUGUUGGUCUUGAGUGAAUUUGAAGUUGCCGGAAUAUGUAGUGUAGCGGUGAAAUGCAUAGAUAUUACAUAGAACACCAAUUGCGAAGGCAGGUAACUAAGAUUUAACUGACGCUGAUGGACGAAAGCGUGGGGAGCGGAACAGGAUUAGAUACCCU